rnacentral:rRNA from 1 species
GACGAGGGGUCCAAGCGUUGUUCGGAAUUAUUGGGCGUAAAGCGGGUGUAGGCGGCUCUAUAAGUCAGAAGUGAAAGCCCCGAGCUUAACUUGGGAAGUGCUUUUGAUACUGCAGAGCUUGAAUGUGGGAGAGGGUAGUGGAAUUCCAGGUGUAGUGGUGGAAUACGUAGAUAUCUGGAGGAACACCGGUAGCGAAGGCGGCUACCUGGCCCAACAUUGACGCUGAGACCCGAAAGCAUGGGGAUCAAACAGG